rnacentral:rRNA from 1 species
AUGAGCGUUAUGCUGCUUCCUGUUGGUUCUAUUCAGGAGAUUGACAAGCGGUGCCGUGCUUUCUUUUGGGCUGGCGAUGACCACGUGAAUGGGGGUCAAUGCAAAGUUGCUUGGGCAGACGUCUGUGCCCCCACUAAGAAGGGCGGCCUGGGCUUUAGAUGCCUUCGUACUCAUAAUAUUUGCAUGCUUCUAAAAUCCCUCAGUAAAAUACACCAACCCGGGCUUGGCUCUUGGGACUCUUGGCUUGCCUCCACGUAUGGUUGGGAAGGCGGGCACUACAUUGGUGACACUCAUAGACUACACACAAUUGUUUGGAAGGACCUCCUGUCUGGUCUCCCUUUCUUCCGCUCUAUUACCCACGUCAAGAUCAGUAACGGUGUCUCAACCGCGUUUUGGUUGGAUCUAUGGAUCGGCAACGAUACCUUGGCUGCUCGCUUCCCAAGUCUUUUCUCCCAUGUUACAAAACCUAAUGUAUCUGUUGCGUUUGUUCUUUCGGCGGAGGAUCUUCAUCUUUCAUUACAACCACGUCUGACCAUCGCUGCUACUAACGAGCUUCUUUGCCUGCAUACUGUUUUAGCCACAGUUAACUUGAUGCCGCAGGUACCGGAUAACCGUUUAUGCAGGAUCAACGAUAAGCCUCUUUCUGUUGCUUCUGCCCCUUUCUGUUCGGAAACGGAGUCUACUUCCCACAUGCUAAUUCACUGCCAUGUUGCCGCUCAAGCUUGGAUGACUGUGGACUCGCUAAACAUCAACCCUUCAGAUUGUUCUUCCAUCCAAGACCUGCAAGGGCGUUCACCUGCUUGCAACUUUCACAAUACGGUUACUAUGUCCAUCCUCUGGAGCCUGUGGAAUAGAAGGAACGCUAAAGUUUUCAAGCAAGAAGAUGAGUCUUUGGGCUGCGUUCUUCGGCGGGCAUCGCAAGACCUCUUUCUUUGGGCCCAUCGAUGUGGAAAGGAGAAUCGCAAACAAAUUCUGAUCGACUGGGGAAUCAUGUUGUCCCGGCUAGAUGUAGCAUAG